GCACCAGAUAAUAACUGAUGCAAUAUCGACUCUGUCGAAUAAAAUUCUAGGCAGAAUUAUGAUAAUGACAUUCUCUGCCUACAUGUCUUGACCAAAUUACGUGCCAGCAGUCGCGGUAAUACGUAGAAGACUAGUGUUAUUCAUCUUUAAUAGGUUUAAAGGGUACCUAGACGGUAAAUCAAGCCUGCGAGGGGACUAGUUUACUAGAGUUACUUGUGAGGGGGUAUUAAAGUACUAAUGGUGUAGAGAUGAAAUUCUGUCAUACCUCUUUUCGGAAGAAAAACUAUGGCACAGGUAUAGGCGAAAGCAUCCCCUUAUGUGAUAACUGACGUUGAAGGACGAAGGCUUUGUGUCGCGAACAGGAUUAGAUACCCCAGUAGUCAAAGCAGAAAAUGAUGAAUGUCAUAGAUUAGGCAUAUAAUAGUUUAUUCUAUAAAUGAAAGUGUAAGCAUUCCACCUCAAGAGUAAUUUGGCAACAUUGGAACUGAAAUCAUUAGACCGUUUCUGAAACCAGUAGUGAAGUAUGUUGUUUAAUUUGAUAAUCCGCAAAAAACCUUACCACAACUUGAAUAUUUAUGUUUAAUUUUUUAUAAAAAAAGAUAUAUUUACAAGCGUUGCACGGCUGUCUUCAGUUAAUGUCGUGAGAUUUUGGUUAGUUCCAUUAAAUUAACGUAAACCCUUGCUUUAUUUUUAUAUAAAGUAGUUCCCCGCU
rnacentral:rRNA from 1 species